CAAAAGCCUUGUAAUUAUCGACUCACCAAGCGUGAGGAACAAUUUAUGCCAAGUGAGGCAAACAGCACAUUCAUGAAAAGGUAUGGGAAUAUGGACACAACAGUAUAUCAGCAUCAUCAUUCCUGGGGCAAGACAUAAAGUGUGUCCUGGAAGCUGAUCCCUGGACCAAAACACAUUUAUAUGCUGUAGACAUGGACAAGUUCUGAGGUGAGAUAGAGGAAUCCUAAUCACAAUAGAUGAGGUACAAACAUUUCCAAGGAAAUUAUUAUUUA
rnacentral:lncRNA from 1 species